rnacentral:misc_RNA from 1 species
GCUGUUUUCUCUUCGUCUAUGGAUCUUAAAUACGCAGAUUUGUUUGUUGUUGCUGUUUCAGAUGAUGCCCGUUUUUCUUCUUUCUUUCCGUUUGUAGUAGUAGUAGUAGCUGCUGCAGCUGCUGCUGGCUUCUCCACAUUUUUCACUUUGGUCGCAGAGGAUUUCCCUGCUGCAUUUGUUAUGACACCAGGUAUCGUAGUUUUCUCAGAAGGCAGAUUAGGAAGAGACCUGCGUUUCGGCUUGUCUGAACGGGCAGGAGAGACCCUCUUAGAAUUGUUAUUCAGAGCCACAUUCUCAUCGAGACUUAAGCGAGCCGAUCGCACAUCACCGCCAUCAUUGCUUGAAGAGUCUGCUGCUGCUGGGGUUGAACUCUUCUUUCGGCCAAGCUUGGGAGACUUGGCUCUUGUGGGUGGUAUCUUUUUCAAUUCUACUUUGGGAGGAG